ACUAAAGCGCGGCUGUACACUGAAAGACGAAUGGAUUGCACUUGAUGUAUAAAACAAUUUUGAAGUGAGAGUUUUCGAGUGAGGCCCAGCCUCUUACAAAUUGGGCACACAUGUGUGGUGGAGAAAAAUGACUGAAACUUUUGUGACGUAUCAUCAUCAGAUGUAAAUAUACUAUGUUUCAGAAUUGUCUUUGGGUUCAGGAAUUACUGCCUCAUUCACGAGAAUGCAACCACUUGUUUCAAGUGACUACAGAAGACCCAGUCCCCACCUACGGUGUAGAUCCGCGGAUGUAGAACAAACGUGAGGAUGGAAAUUUCAAGAGCAGAGGCAUCUUCCCCAAGAAAACUUAGACUUGUACACCGGUGUAACAAAAAAAGGCCUGGCAAAGAAAACCCUUUCUUGGACACCCACUUGUUUGGAAAAACUGGAUCCACGCCUUCACUGACAUUCUUAGAAGAUGCCGCUAAUUUAUAAACUGUUGCACACUUUACAUAUGUCACUUUAAACAUGUAAGAAGUUCUACUUUAUGUACAUAUCAAUUCUCUCUAGAUCUGGUCCAGAGUACUUUACUUUGCUAUUUCUUUUGAUAGCUGUAGUAAUCCUGACUCAUUUACAAGUAUGUUGGACUUUUAUCAAAGUGAACAGCAUCUACCACAAAGUGGGCUUUUAUAUACAGAUGUCACAGAAAGCGACUCUUUCCUAUCUCCCUUUUCUUUCUGCCCGUCGAUCAUCUCUCUCUCUCUCUCUCUCUCUCUCUCUCUCUCUCUCUCUCUCUCAACUAAUUAAACAGUUAAAGUAGAAUUGAUCGUUUAACCAAAGCAAACGCUAUGUGUUUAACCUUUUAACAAAUUUACACGUCAGUUCGCCUCGUGUUUUGGCUCUAAACGUUUCUCCAAUGUAUCGCGUCCAUCGAUUAGUUUAUAUAAUUCUUUGUCAUCCAAAGGUGAUGUAUGGAUGGUAUAGUAACAACAAAGCCCAGACAAGUGUAUUCCCAGAAUGCCAACAGAACGCAAUUUUACAAUCCUUUUACGACAGUUCUCGGUCCGGAAAGACUUCGAAAAGAAAUAAAAUGAAGCGCCGUGUUACUUGUCCGUAAACGGUUCCCAUUUCUAUAGGAGCUGUUUCCACUGGAAUCCCGGGAGAGCAUUUUCCAUUGGUUAUUUUUUCAGCGCAACCAAAACAGAAGCACCAUUGAGUGGAUUACCUUCUUGCCCUUUAUUGACAAAGUCAUUACAUGAUUGAUCACGGAGGCUUUCCCUGGGGAUCAGGAAAAUGAGAAAUAUUGUGCAUUUUUAUUCCAAAUUCAAUUGUUGAGAGCGGCGAAGCAGAUUAUUGUAAUGAGAUUUUAUAUUAAUGCCGGGCUUCAUAUUCUUUCUCAUUCUUUGUUGUGACUAAACCUAGAAGAUGACAUUUCAGCUAUUUGUUGCAUAAAUCAUAUAAUGCAUUACGUAAUUGUUGCAAAUUGCUAUUCUUUUAAUGGGGAGAUAUUAUGUAGAAUGUCAUGGGCUUUUUUUUAUCCCCUAUAAUAUGCUAUAACGCAUUAUUGCACUUUUGGUAUUAUAUGUAUGAAUUUUAGAUUACAUUUGGUCGCAAUGGUUUGUACAUCAAAUCUGAGAUAAUUUGUGUAUUUGUGUCUGUUCUCGUCCCAGACACUUGAAUAAGUAUAUAUAAAGAGGAAUUGACAAUGG
rnacentral:sRNA from 1 species